rnacentral:lncRNA from 1 species
UUUGUUUUCUUUAUUUUUUUUCCAGUUUUUCUCUAUUUUGGUUUUUGUUUGUUUUCUUAAAAAAAAUUGCAUGCUUUUUCCUUUGGUUUUUGAGUUACAAUUAUGAGUAUUUUUCUUAGUUCUCUUGACUAAAGUCUUGUGGUGUGAUGUGAAAAAAUUGCUGUGCAUUUUUAGUAUGAUAGGAAUGACUAAACUAAAUUGUACAUCAUUUGUG